GCCUUCCUUUUGUUGUGGAAUCUCAGCAACCAUCCAUUGUAUGUCGAGAGGGUCCGUAACUGGUUUCUCUACGUAUGACUUUGUAGUCUUGAAGUCAAUGUCUUUGCGUUUACCGUAGAAACCAGUGCAUGACAAAUAAAGAGGAAUAAUGACUGCAAAUUUUUCAACCAAGGUUUGAACAGUUUUGUUACGCUUUGCCCUCUCCAAUGAAUCAUAAACAUACAGUUGCCGGUCCUUUAUGUCAAACACUAACAACAACCAAU
rnacentral:lncRNA from 1 species